GUCGUCUUUCAGUGUACAUGCACCCCUGGUGUCUCUCUGUGUGUCAUAAUCUCCUCUCCUCAUAAACACACCAGUCAGAUUGUAUUAGAGCCCACCCUAACAGCCUUAUUUAAUUACUUCUUUGAAGGUUCUCUCUCCAAAUAUAGCCACAAACUGAAAUACUAGGACUUCAACAUAUGAGUUUUGGAAGAAAUAACUCCAAAAAGCCCAUAACACUUUUAUUUCCUUGUCUUGUCUAUUGCAUUAGAUAAGACUUGAAAUAGGAUGUUGAAAAGGUGUAGUGAGGGGGGGACACACUUGUCUUGCUCCUGAUCUUAGUGAGAAAGCUUCUAGUUUCUCAGAACUAAAUAUGAUCUUAGCUGUAAGUUUUUGGGGGGGUGCAUUACCACUGUAAGCAUCCUUCGAACUCAGCACCGGUGAGGGAGGUGUCAUAAUAUCUGUCAUAAUAUCUGGAAUACCCCUAGAAAAGCUAUCAGACAUAAGUGGGGAAAGGCCAGCUCUUAAAGGACCCAUGUGCAAAUUCACCCGUUUUGGAAAACAACCUGAAAUCACCAUAAAGAAAGAUGCACUGUCCUUUCUAGAAAAGAGACUCACCUGAUAGGCUCUGGGCACAUCUCAGUGAGAGGGGAGACCUCUCCAUGGACUGAGACAUUGACAACAACCAUUAUUGUGACCUCAUACAGGUGUGCUGACACAGACGCUGGUAGAUGCCAUUGGAGUCCUUCCCCUGGCAUGUUAGCCCAGGAUCUGCCCCGCCCACGACAGUGCUGAUUAAAACCAGCUCAGCCAGGGUGGGCAGCCCACCCUAGGGACUGGCUCCACCAACUGAAGGCCUCGGUCAACUUGUGUGCCUGCAUGGACAGAGUGCCAGGAUCCUCUGCAGGCAGAGAGUAAAUCAAAGGAUUCAACAUGGGAGUGACUAAGGUGUAACAUAAGGAGGCCACCUUACUGAGCUCAGGAAAUCUGUCAGGAGUGAGAUACGUAAAAAAGACAGCUCCAUACAGCACACACAGACUCCACGGUGAGAGCUGCAAGUGGAGAAUGCCUUCUUACAUCCCUCAGUGAAGCACAUCUUUGGAACUGUGAACACAAUACACAAGUAAGAAACAAUAAUAACUAUGAUGGUAGGCAAGAUAAUGGUGCUGGACAAGGAAAGAAAUGCCCAUUUUAUAGAUAAAGAGGUCAGAGAAAGAUAGUCUCUAAAGUGGGUGAGUAUCACAGUGAAAGGGGUCUACAGCCCGAGAAGCACAAAAACGUAAAGUAAAUGUCAUGCUGGUCUGAAGAACUGAGCUGAUGCAGCCACAGAAAUAAGAAACAGCCACCAACUGAGUGCAGAGACAUGUUGACAUCUGUACAGAGUAGAGGAGAGGGUUGCAGAAGGCAAUGAAGUGGUCAGAAGCCAUGGCUGCCAGGAAAAUGCCUCAGUCACAAUGAAGAGGACAAAGAGGAAGCGCUGGGUCGCACAGCCUGUGAAGGAGAUGGACUUGCUCUCAGACCAGAGGUUGACCACAACCUUGGGUGCAACAACAGACGAGUAGAAGAGAUCAAUAAAGGGGAGGUUGCCUAGGAAGAAAUACACUGGUGCGUUCAGCCGGGGAUCAGUCAUUGUAAGGGCCAUUAUCCCAACAUUCCCUAGAAGGACCAUGGCAUAUAUAAGCAGAAAGAGGAGAAUGUAAAGCUUGGAGUGGACCCCAAAGCCAGAAGAAUGAAGUCAGUCACUUCUGAGUGAUUGCUUGUUCCCCUGUCACCCAUGGCAGAAACCUGCUGAGAGGCACAAGGCAAAUAAAUGAACUCUUAGCUUCGAUCCUACCUACAAAUAAUCUCUUAGAAUAUUAGGAUUUAGAAAGCUAUUCUGUAAUCAUUAUUUACUUUAAACUCAUAAAUUAUUGUGACUUAUUAAGCCAACUCCAACUGAUGGUGAAUCAACAGGUCGUUUUAUGCUCUAAUUCAUACAAGCGUUGGAAUUAGAUCUUUUUCCUCUGAGUAUAAUGCAAUGCCUUUCCACCCAAAUGCCUGUCACAUUUGC
ensembl:lncRNA